rnacentral:rRNA from 1 species
GACGAACGCUGGCGGCGUGCUUAACACAUGCAAGUCGAACGAAGCGCCUCUGCUUAUUUUUCGGACUAAAGUUUCGUGAGUGUGUGGCGGACGUGUGUGUACUGCCCUGGUCAUUUGGAUUGUUUCAGGGGAUUAGAGCUAGUACCGGCUGGUAAUUCCUCCUACGUGGUGGGGGAGGGAACUUUUUGGCUGAAAAAGUUCGGCUGGACAGGUUUGGCCUGCGUCUGGUUAGCUGGUUGGCAGGGGAACGGGCUAACAAGGCAGCGAUCAGUGGCCGGUCUGAGAAGAUGAACCGCCACAUUUGAACUGAGACACGGUCCAAACUCCGACGGGAGGCAGCAGUGGGGAAUAUUGCACAAUGGGGGAAACCCUGAUGCAGCAACGCCGCGUGAGUGAAGAAGUAUUUCGGUAUGUAAAGCUCUAUCAGCAGGGAAGAUAAUGACGGUACCUGACAAAGAAGCACCGGCUAAAUACGUG